AUCAGGAAGACGUGGUUCUCGAGCCCGUUCCGCAGGAAGACGGUGAGUUAGAUGCCUAAGGACCUUAUAGCUCUAUUUAUAGUUUUUAUUUUGAGUAUCUCUUUUAAUUAGCUUAUUCUUUCAUAUUUUGAGUACGUUUUUUGGUUAUUGUGUAAGGGAUAUUAAUCAAAAAUUUUAUUACGCUUCCGCAUUUAAGAUUUUUAAUGCAUACAUCUUCAUUUAAAUUCCGGGGCCGUUACAAAGAUGCUUAUUCUAAGGAGCUCCAGCUUUAAAGAAUAUUCUGAUGAUCAAAUCCAGCUAUAAUGGGCCUUUAGCUGAAUAUAUUGUUGAACCCCCACCAAGUUCUAGAUGUGAGGUAUGAUAUAUGAUAAUGUGCCUUAUGACUAUUGAUGUGAUACCCACUAAAGAUAAACCUAAACUAGAGGAGUGUAAGAAGCGGACUGGUAUUAAUGAGCUUCCAGGAAACGAAAGAAAGCAAUUACGAGGUAACAAUACCCUAUGCUACUCUAUUCUUCACUAAGUAUCAAACAGUGAGGCCGAAUCCACCAAACAGAGUUCCCGACCUAGGAAGAAAUGACACUAGAAGGUGUUAAAAACCCAAAGAAAAACGGACUUUACUGUUAAGAAACGGCUUGGCCUGAAAAUCCCGGCCUAAGAAAGAAGUCUGAAUGUAGUCUGCAUAUGGGUACCCGUAGGGUAAACAUGUGUCGCAUUGCAUAUAUAGGAUAGGAUACUUGGCCCACACAUUCAUCGAUGUUCUAAGCUCCCAUGGUGAGGAAGUCGAAGGUAACUUUAUACUUCGCAGGAAAAUCAGAGACAGGCAACUUUCUUGACGCAUAGACCUGGAGGCCCACAUGCGAGCAAGGAUGCUUGCGUAUGCGCCGAACAGGCAAGCCAACCUACACAACCCAUGAACACACACAUGUGCCCACAUGUGCCGCGCACAUGAGUGUCGGGAGCACCAUACACGUGACCUUCUAGGCCCACACAGAACCGACCGCGCGCGCAAGCCCAGAAGGCCGAACGCGUGCGCAAGCCCAGAAGGCUGAACGCGUGCGCAAUGUGCGGACGGGCCCGAGGCCAGCCCAACCAAGCCCACGAUUCCUACGGGCCUUUCCCACGCUACCCAAGUGGGCCGAUUGACCCAACCUAAUUGGGUUACCCUAAAACCGGCCCUCCCUAAUUCUUUUAAAUUAAUUAAUAUUUUUUUAAAGUUUAAAAAAUGAGCUUUGGGACCCAUUUUUUAAAUUACCCAUGUUAUUAACUUAAAAUCCCACAUGUCUAAAUUAAUUUCUAAAUAUAUUUUUCAUGGAAGUCACAUGGGAUAAGUAUUAAUGUAUUUUAAUUAUUAUUUUAUUAUAAGUCAAUCCCUUAAGAUUAUUUAAUUAAUAUUUUUGAGAUAGGAUAAUUAUUUUAUUAUGUAAUUAUCCUAAAUUUAGAUAGAAUUUUAUUUAGAACGUUAUUUUAUUAAAUUAUCCCAAUAGUUUGUAUUUAUCUAGAUUGCUCGAAAAAAACUAUAAAUAGGCAUUUGCUCAUAGAUUGUAAACAUACCAAUUACAAUCAGUAUGAGAGAAUUCUUAAAAGCUUAGGUUUUUAUUUUUUUUAGCAUUUUUACUAAAUUAGCUUCUCCAAGUUCUUUAAGAAGUAGGAGUUUUCAGAAAUCCUAUUGAGCUAAGAAGCAGGGAUCAACUUAUCAGUAAAUCUGUUGCGAUUUUUCUUUUCUUGUUUUUUUUUCCUAGUCUUUGUUUAUGCAUUUCUUCUACGAUUGUAGAUUCAAUUAGAGUGAUGAGUUUAUCUAGACGAUUAUAGUUCCUUGCUCACUAUUUUUUCUAUUUGAUAAUGACAAUAAUAAUAAUAAUAAUAAAAGAAGAUUCAGCAGAGGAUAAGAAGUCUUACCUUACUCUAUUGGAUAUUCACAAGUGAAAAAAGACGAAUGAAUCCAACUUUUCCUUUUCCUAUUUUACGUUCUUCUUUUCUUCUUCACGACUUCAUUAUGCGCUGGCAAGUUCGUUAACAAGUCAAUGAAAGGACAAAGAGGGAGUCAGUAGCAAUGGUGAUGUAGCUCAGAAAUAUAGAUAGGAGGAGGACGAGAACUGGUGACCCCAAGAGUAUCAGAGACAUGGAUGAAGAGGGAAACAGGGUUGUUGUCCUGACUGAUGCAGCAUCAUGUUGAUUCCAUUGCUGGCAACUCUCUCCCUUCUCCGUCUCCCUUUGUCCACUUUCCUUCUGGUUAUUAAUCGAAGAAUUUAAAAUUUUGAGAAUUAAAUUAUUUGUAGACUUUAAAAAUUCUCUCAAAAAAAAUUAAAAUUAAUUAAUUAAAUUAGUAGAUUACUAUACAUUAAAAAAUAAAAAAAACAUGUUUAAAACUAUUAUUAUUAUUAUUUUAUUUAUUAAUUAAAAUUAAUUCAGUUUAAACAUUAGAUAAUUUGUUUUAAGAAAGAAGCUUAAAAUAAUCAGAUAAUAUUAAAAUAUCAAACUAUAAUACAGUUUUAAAAAAAUAAAAAAUAAUCAUACUGAAAAAAAAGUUCCAUACAAAAUUAUAAAAAAAAAUCAAUUUUUAGAAACUAAUUUAAUAAUCUAAUCUAAUAUCCAUUUUUAAAUUAAAUAAUAGUAAUUUAAAAUUGAUAUUUAUAUUAAAUAAAAUAUUUAAUUAAAUGAAUAUUUUAAAAUAACUUAAAUUAUUAAAAUAAUUUCUAAAAAAGUAAUAUCAAACAAAUAAUUAUAACAAUUAAAUCUUAUAGCAUAAUUCUUAAUCCUCGUUUAUCAUUAAUUUUGUAACAUAAUAACUUAAUAAAAUAUUUUAUAUUAAAGACAUUUUUUACAAGUAAAAAAUAAUAUUUCACUUUAAAACCACUUCUAUUAAAAGUCAUUUUGAAAGCAUUUUUACCAACUCCAAGCACUGGCUUUGUAAAACAGACUUUAAAAUCAAUCCACUCAUAUUCUUGUGCGAUCUACCCACAAAUGAAAUGUGCACUAGCUUUAGGGGGAGGAAAAAAAGCACCUUAAUUAGUUGUGUUCAUCUUUGCUUUAUGCAUGUAUAUAAAUUUGAUUCAAUCGCUACCCAAGUAAAAACAUUAAACAAAGGCCAAUGAAUCCAAUUAUAAUAAGAUUAAGAGAGACAACACAAAACUAUAAAACUCAAUUGGUUAGCUUCACAGCUCAANNNNNNNNNNNNNNNNNNNNNNNNNNNNNNNNNNNNNNNNNNNNNNNNNNNNNNNNNNNNNNNNNNNNNNNNNNNNNNNNNNNNNNNNNNNNNNNNNNNNNNNNNNNNNNNNNNNNNNNNNNNNNNNNNNNNNNNNNNNNNNNNNNNNNNNNNNNNNNNNNNNNNNNNNNNNNNNNNNNNNNNNNNNNNNNNNNNNNNNNNNNNNNNNNNNNNNNNNNNNNNNNNNNNCUGAAUCAGUCUCAAAAGCUGGGGGUUUUGCUUUCCAAGCUCCUGAAGCAUGGGCUGUAACAAAAACAGCAUUUUCAACUCUUCUCAAGAAGCUACCAAGAUAAAUUCGGUUUAAAGAGAAAAAGAGAUUCAGUGACCUGUAAGAUUUGUGGAUUUGAUUGCACUAUUGAUCGCAACGUUUGGAACUAAAACCAACAGAGAAACAAGAGAAGUUAUCUCAUCGCGAAAAUUCAUCACCUACAAAUCUUUAGAUAUUGCCACUUUUCAAAUAAUUCAAUAUCAAUCAGAUUUAUACUAAUAACUAAUGAGCCAGAUACUCGUAUAAAGAGGAAAUAGAUUGUUCAAAUUAGCCUUAAGUUUAAAGACGGCCUAAAGAUUAAAAAUUAUAAUUUUAUUAAAUACAAAACUAGUAUGCUAUUUAGGAGUCUAUUAUCAUAGUUCUAGUAACUUUAUAAUUUUUUGUUUUCAAUAUUUAUUUUUACUAUUUACAUUAGUAGUAUUAGUUCCUCAUCCUAUUAGUGUUAGUGAUCUAAUUCUACCGAAGAACUAUUAUGUACAAAUUUUGGUAAAUUCACUUCUAGUUAUUCAGUAAAAUUUUUUAUGCAUUUCUUAAUUUUCUGAUUCUAUGUGCCAUCAAACUCUAUAUUAAGACUUAUUCGAUGUAGAUAUAUAAGAAACUCUAGAUGUGAUACCUAAAUCUUUGUCUCCAAAUUCCUAAAUAGCUAAUUUAAUCCUAAUUCAUGCUAGAUCAGUUUGUAUAAUAGCUAAAGAAUCCUACUCCAAAAACUUAAAACCCCACACCCAAAUACCCAAACUCGACUGACCGGGAAGAAAAACAGAAAUAACCAAUCACUGAAGCCCAUAAAUCAACUGCCAAGGCAAUCAGAACCAAAGACUCUCUCUCAUCCCCAAAAGCCCAGGGUGAAAUUCCACGGAAAACAAGCCACUCACGAUUGCACUUUUUCCCUAUCCUGCCUUCUCAUUCCCAAAUUUUCUUGUUGAUAGUGUUUCCUACCACUACCAGAUCUGGUACCACUCUCUCAAGCUGAACCUAGUGUUGGGACACUGAUGCUGCUCAAUGAACAAAAAUUGGUGCAUAGUUCCUAUGCAAACGUAACCGCAAGUGAAGUAGUCAGAUUGCCACUGUUUUGACUUUCUAAGAUUGGGUUGACCAAAUCAGUUCAUCCUAUCCAGUUUUAGAGCCCUUCUACACUGGUUACAAUUCCCCAAUUAAUUGUCAUGCACUCAGUUUUCUAAUUAACCAUCAACUUCAACAUCUGCAGUAUAAAAGAAUUUUCAGUACGUGGAAUAUUAAGGAAGAUAAUGAGCUAUAGCUAUGAGAUAAUAAAGCUGACAACUCUUUCUUAGUUGUAGCCUGAGCACAAUCAAACAGGAAAAAGUGAAGCAAAGGUCGAAAGCAUUCAACAAUAUUUUCAAAUCCAAACCUUUGUGGCAUAGAGAGAAGCUUGUCAUUUACAAAGAUUGUUUCCAGAAUCUUGUUUCAAUCUCUAUCGUUGAACGACAGUCUUUCGACACAAUCAUAUCCGCAACCAUAUAGAUUAGCUUGGACAAAUAGUACAAGUAUUUUGGUAACUCAACCAAGUCUUGACUCUAUUCGUCAUGGUAUUUACAGAGAUUCAAUCUUGUGCAACAUUGUUCCUACAAUGUUCAUAAAUGUUUGUCUAGGUCAACCUUAGCUUUUUAAUAGACAUGUUCAGUAUAACGUGACUACUAAUACCCAUUAUUUUACACUUGGCACAAAGGAUAUAGCUUUAAAAUCUAUGACUAAGAAGAGAUGAGGAAACAUAAACAUCCAAAAGCAUCUAUGGAGAGAAAAAGCUCAUUGAAGUUGAAAACAAGAACUGCCGCGUUCUCCUAAUAGUAGAGAUGUUGAGGUUACUAAAGAUUUUUUCAUUACGCGAAGAGACUUAGACAAUUUUUAUACAGUAUAUAGAUAAAAUUAGGUUGUUACAAAACUAUUAACAAUUUAAUUUACACAUGAAUACUACCGUUGCACUUUUACAUAUAUUAGAAAAGGUCAAUUGCAAGGAGACACCGAUGGCAAUAAUUAGAUCUGUUUAACUCAAGGAUGAAGUUAAUGCACAAUUCUUCCGAUACGUUGAUUUCAUCCUCCUCUCAAUAAAAUUUCACUCUAUUAAAUAAUCAUGUGUUUCCAUUAGUUUUAGCAUUAAAGAGAAUAACCGGACAGAAAUUUUCCUAGAGUUUUGUUACAAGAUUACAUGAUAUUUACUUGUAAUUAUUGGUAGCUGACUUUCCAUAUAUAUUAGCAUAAUUAUAUACAGCCAAUUAAUAGGCUAAUUUAUGUUAGUUACCUUACACAGAUCCCACUAUAUGUAUAUAUAUCCCUAACCUAUUAGAAUGAAACUAUCAGACAAUGUUCCUAUAUUUUUCCGCUCUCUUACAUAGUCUCAAAGCCAUGGAUUGAGAGUUGGGCCAGAUCAGAUCUGAUCUGUGUCCCAACCACCACUGAAGGAGAAAUAGAGGCAGCAGCUGCGGCGGCAUCUGAAACGAGGAGGCUUGGAGCCGAUCUGGUGAGACGAGACAGCCAGAAUCAGAAGGGAGGGAGAAGCCAAGGAGAUGGCUUGUGUACACGGCUCGGAGAAGACAAACCGUGCAGCAGGAAUCCUGAUAUGCGUGUGCAGCAGCCAGUCCAGAUCCAAGUCGGGGCGUGGCGGGGAGAAGACAAUCCAGCCUUGUACGCGACAGAUCGGUCUAGAUCUGCGUGAGGUCGGUCUGGAGAGGGUGUAGAUGAAGCUAUCUGUGUCGGAAUCAAAAGGUCGGAGAGGAAGAAUCUGAGGCAGUUGCCAUCGGUUGCGCGAAGCUAGAUCCACAAAUUUUUCAGUGUUUUCCGGCGCGAUUUAACAAAAUCCGUUCACUUGUUCAUUGCAAAAUUAUAUGACUCAACAAAAGAUUCUCUAUCAGUCCUCUUGUGUUGAUACACCCACUCAAAAUGGAAUAACUGAGAGAAAGACUAAACAUUUACUUGAGACUGCUCGAGCUCUUUUAUUCCAAACACAGGUCCCUAAGCAGUUCUAGGCUGAUGCUAUUUCCACGACCUACUUUUUAAUUAAUCGUCCGUCAUCUAUAGUACUUAAUGGAGAUGCUACUUACAGUGUUUUUUUUUUCCAAACAAGUCAUUGUUUUUUAUUCAACCUAGAGUAUUUGGUAACACCUGCUAUAUUCGAGAUGUGUUGCCUAAUAUUACUAAAUUAGACCCAAAUGUCUUGAAAUAUGUAUUUUUGGGAUAUUCUUACCUUCAAAAGGAAUAUCAAUGCUAUUUUCUAGAUCUCAAUAAAUACGUGGUAUCAACUGAUUUGGUAUUUUCAGAGAACACGUCAUUCUUCUCCUUAUCAUCUAAUUCUACAAAUUAAGAGGAGGACGAUGAGUAGCUCAUUUAUAAGUUCACAUCAAGUGUCUCAAAUGAGCAAUCAGAUAAUGGUGUUUCUUCAGAUGAUGUGUCUCCAACUCUAAUUGAGUAAGUUGAUGAUGGUGUGCCUCUGACCGAAGUACAACCACCAAUUAUUCAUAUUUAUUACAAAAGACAACAGACUAAUGAUACAUGUCCUGUACCAGCUUCCUCAUCGUCUGAUCCUAUCCCACAUGACUUGGAUCUUCUCAUUAAUUUUCUUAACGGUAAACAUUAAUGCACCCUUUCUAAAUCUACGUAUCCCAUUGAUAAUUUUAUUUCAUAUAGUCACCUGUCCCAUUCGUUUAUUUUUUUUAAUUACUUUUAUAGAUUCAAUUUCCAUACUUAAGGGAAUUAUGGAGGCUUUGAAUCACUCUCUUUGGUAUAAAAUGAUGUUUGACUAGAUAAAUGCUUUCGGUGAAAAUCAUACCUAAGAUUUGGCGAAUUUGUCAAAAGUAAAAAAGUUGUGAAAUGCAAAUGGAUCUUUUCAGUCCAAGUGAAUCCAGAUGGUUCCGUGGCAAGACUUAAAGUCAAACUAGUAACGAAAGACUAUACUCAAACUUAUGAAGUGGACUAUUCUGAUAUAUUCUCUCUAGUGGUCAAACUUACAUCUCUUUAAUUAUUCAUCUCUAUUGCAGCCUCCCAAAAGUAGCCCUUACAUAACUUAGAUAUUAAGAAAGCAUUUUUUCAUAGUGAUCUCUCAGAAAAAGUGUAUAUGAAACAACCACAUGAAUUUGUUGCUCAAGGGGAGUAUGAGAAUAUCUGUCAUUCAAAGAAAUCUUUGUGUAAUUUAAAACAGAUUCCCCGUACGUAAUUUGGCAAGUUUAGGGAAGUAGUUCUAUAUUAAAAAAGAGUAAGUAUAAUCAUUCGAUCUUUUAUAAAUAAUUAAUAGCUGGUAUUAUACUUUUUGUUAUUUAUGUAGAUGACAUUGUCAUUAUAGGAAAUGAUUGUGCAGAAAUAUCUUCUCUCAAGUCAUUCUUGCAUACUAAGUUUCACACUAAAAACUUGAAUCAGCUAAAAUAUUUCUUUGGAGCCGAAGUAACAAAAAGCAAGAAAGGAAUUUUCUUGUCUCAAAAGAAGUAUGUACUUGAUCUAAUUGCAGAAAUUGAAAAAUUGACAGCUAAGUCGUGCAAUACACAAAUGACGCCACAUGUAUAUCUUACAAAAGAUAAUAGCGAACCUCUUGAUGAUCUGGAAAAGUACAGGCAACUAGUUGGAAAAUUGAAUUAUCUCACAGUGACUUCUAGAUAUUGCAUAUCAUGUUAAUGUUGCUAUUCAUUUUAUAUCUGCAUCUACAAUCAAACAUUGAGAAGCUUUAUAACAAAUUGUGCUGCUUAGAAGGUGCUCCAAGACUUAACAUAUUAUUUAGCAAUUAUGAGCACACUCACAUUAAACGCUUUGCAGAUAUUGAUUUGGCUGAAUCUAAAAUUGAUAAACGGUCCACUACAGGUUAUGUGUUUUUGCUAGUGAGAACUUAAUAUCAUGAAGAAGUAAGAGGCAGACCGUUGUGCCCUAAUCUAAUACAGAAUCCGAAUAAAGAGCUAUGACCCAAUCUACAUGUGAAGUCUUAUGGAUACAUCACCUUCUAACCGAAGUGGGUUUAAAUCCUGUGUCACCUGUAAAACUCAGAGUGUGAUAAUUAAUCUGCAUUUCAUAUUACUUCAAAUCUAGUGUACCAUGAAAGAAUCAAACAUAUCAAAAUUCAAGAAAACUUGGUUUCUAUUGGUUAUGUGAAGACAGGAGAACGUGUAAUAUAUUCACGACUUUAAUGCAACUCGAACUGAAUACUUUCGUAACAAACUAGACAUGAUAAAUAUCUAUGCUUCAACUUGAGGAAGAGUGUUACAAGAUUACUUGAUAUUUACUUGUAAUUAUUGAUCGUUGACUUUCCAUAUAUAUUAGCAUAAUUAUAAACAGCCAAUUAAUAAACUAAUUUAUGUUAGUUACCUUACACCACUCUAUAUGUAUGUAUAUCCCUAACCUAUUGAAAUGAAACUAUCAAAAAAUAUUCCUAUAUUUUUCCGCUCCCUUACAAGUUUCUUGGAAAAGCUCGAGGUUAAUGUUCUACAUUAUUCGCUAUUUCACAACUUAUAGAUGAGUUCUUUCCAACGAGGAAAGAAUUAUGCAAAAUAAUGUAAAUUUAAAUUGCUAAAUAAAAUUAAGAAUGAUAAUUAUAUUACACAUAAAGCCAAUGUAACAUUCAGGAAUUUACCAUUAAAUGUUUAGUGCCUUUAGGUUCUUAUUUUUUCACUAUUUAGUUUCCUUGUACUUACCGUAUUAUUCUCCAAUUUUAUUAGUAUUAGUUAUCUAAUUAUAUUUAGAAACAUAACUAAAUUAGUAUUAUAAAUAUUUUUGUAAAUUCACUUUUUGAGACAUCCUUUAGUUAUUCAAGAAAGAAACUAAAUUUUCCAGUUCUAUAUUGCACUAAAUCCUUACAUUUGAUGCUUAUAAGUUCUUAGAUAUAACAUCCAAGAAACAGAAAGUGUGAAGCGUAGAAUUUAUUCCUAAAUUCCCAAGAAUGCAAACUUAGCCCCAACUUGUACUGUAUUAUGGUGAUUAGAUUCUAGGUUUUCUGGUUUAAUAGAAAAGAGACUAUAUUAGCAUAAGAGAGAAAAAAAAUGUGGAGAAUAAGACAUCUUCCUCAAAGAAUUACAUCAGAUACAACGAAAAGAAACAUAGGAAUGAAAAACUCUAAGAGAUGGAAACAACAGGCUGCCAGUUUCAGUGAAGCAUAGGAAUGAAAAACUCUAAGAGAUGGAAACAACAGGCUGCCAGUUUCAGUGAAGCUCUGAGACGGCUAUAUCAGAGUAUCUCCUUGACUUUUGAUGCAAAAUGUAGAAAGAAAUAUAACCCUAUCCCACAACUCCUAAAGAGAAGAUAACAGUCAUAAAAAAUUCUGCAGCUUUUUUCCAGCCAAAUCACCCAUAAUCCUGCAAAUAUUGCCCCUUGCAAUAAAGGCCUGGCUCCCUUGCGCACCCUUCUCCACAAAUACAUGAACCCAUUAAGCCCUCAACCUAGAUCCUAGGUUUCAGGAAGAAUUCAGCCAAAUCUUCCAUAUUAGUUUGUACCCAAAAUUCAGCUAUAAAAUCAUCAGAGAACAACUUAUAAGAAAAAGGAGGUUUAAAGUAUCCAACUCCAUAUACCAAAAGCUGUCCAACAAGUCCUAAUUUUGGAAUUGGAGUAGGUUGUUAUGGAAGAUUUCAGUCACUUCCACCAUCAUUUUGAGGCAUUUGUUAAUAUAUAUCAGGAGGAUCCAAAGCAUUGGAAACCAAACCAAGAAUUCAAUACAGGGGGUGAAUGACCUGACUAGGGAACUUUCAGUCCCUUCGGGCAAACAAAACAUAGGUGAAGUCAGCAUAAACAUAGGUGAACACAGUAUUGCCAGGGGAAGACAUUACUAGCUCCUGGUUCCGUUUAGGCCACGAUCAUUUUGAUGCUGGUUCUUUUAUCUCCAAGGAUUCUACUAAAGUUCAAGAUUUUGAUGGCUCUUUUGACCACUUGCAUUCAUUUGAUCGCUGCAACAUUUUUUUUUGGCUGUCAGAAUCUCAAUCAGUCCCACCUAGACAAUUUCUGAUGGGUUUAGAUGAUGCUAAUCAAGGCUUCCAGCUUCAGGAAUUACUUGCUAUAUUUACCAAAAAUUUUGGUACGCUACAUGUUUGCCUCAUGUACACAGUUCUAAAAUUUUGCUGCAAUCUGUUGCAAGACGGAGAAAAAUUUUCUCAUUCUGAAGUUAACAAAAGUUACUUUAUGUCGAGUGAAGACUUUUUUAUUGUUCUAAAGCACUUCUAUGGCACAGGAACAACCUCCGGAUUUGGGAUGAUCUGUCAACUGGAAUUUUUUCUUUUGGGAAGCUGUUCGACUAGGCUGUCUCUGUUUCUCAUUAUUGGUGCUUGCGGACAAGCACCUAUCAGAGGAGGUAUGUAAUCUUAUAGUCCAUAAUAAAUAAUAAAAGCACUUAAGAGUCUGGUUUAUGACACGGACCCACAGACAGCAAGCAGCGGGCGGAACACAGGCAAAAUGCAAAGAGAACCAUUACUGCUUUGGUUAAAGUGAGAUGCCUUUUAUUUCAGGAGUUUCCUUAUCUCUGUAAUUUAAAUAAAAAAGGCAACUUAAGAAAGCCUAAGGUCAUGGUGAUUAAAUAGGCUAAUUAUUUUUUUUCAAUAAAGUGUGAAUAGAUAAUAAACUGUAUGCGAUUAAAUCACUAAUUAUCGUAACUUAAAAUCAUGAAGAUUAGAUUACCAGUUUUAGGAAGAAGUAAGCAGGCUUAUUCCUAUUUAUUUGUACCCUUUUAUAAAAAUUAUGCAAUCAAAUCAUUGAAGAAAAAUUUAUACAAAGAAUUUUAGAUUAUUUAACUGCUGAGACUCAAGGACUUUAGAAUCCUAAAUACUAAUACCACACAUUACUGCACAUAACCUGAUCCCGAAACCAUGACUCUGCCACCACAUUGAUAGGAAAGCUUGUAUAAGCCCAUCAAAGAAAGACUAAAGUAGAUUUCAUAUCGGAAAAAGGGGAGGAAGAAAACAUAAGUUUAUUGUAACCUCUAUGUAGAGUAUUAAGUUUCCUUGAUAACAGGAAUUGUAACACUUCACAGGAAUAAUACCUGUUGAUUGCUUCUCAGAAAUUCCAGAGAUCCAAGUCCACCAACACCAGCACCAGAUGGUGCCUCCUGGGAAAAAUUCAGCAUAGCAUAAACAAAAAAAGGAAACCUCCUUACAAACACAAUGAAAUUCAAACAAGAUCAAAAUGUUUACCUGAGGAAACAUAUUUAAAGGAGACGAAUUAGGUGCUCCAGAGGCACCAAUUACUGGGGCUGCACCUGUUUCUGUUAUCUGAGUUGCGGGCAAAUGACCUACUGGAACAGCAACUUCUGUUGUUUCAGGUAUUCCCUAAAAAUAAAGAAGUAUUAAGACCAGAUGUAGAGAAAUAAACAUUUAUCGCUACAUUUGCAAAAUUUAGACUUACAGAGUAAAGAUAAUCUACUGCUCGCUCCGGGUUGUUAUAAGCUGCACGAAGUGCUCGGCUAACUGUCUCUUUGUCCCAGUUUCCGCCACCAAUAUCCAUUAUUUGUUGAAUGGUCUGUUCAAGAUUACUACCAGCAACUAAAUUGGAGGCAGCUUGACCAUAGGUAUCAGCAUGUGGUCUGCAAUAAGUAUAUAAUAUGCAUCACUAGAUAAUAACAAAAACUCUGUUGAACACUAGAAAAUAACAUACAUUAAAAAGUUGAGAAGAGAAUUUUUUUAAGGUUGUUAAAUCAAGAGAAUUUUUCUAAAGCCAUUUGAUCACGUUAACUGAAAUUUCCUGGAUUAUAUGCUUUUGAGACUUGGUUUUGGACCCAAAUGGAGAAGCUGGAUAAAAACAUGUAUUUUCGCUACUAAUUUUGCUGUGAUCGUCAACGGCGCCCUCCACUUUUUUCAAUGCCUCUAGAGGCCUACGGCAAGGAGAUCCCCUAUCUCCACUCUUAUUCAUUAUUGUGAUGGAGGCAUUGAAUAAACUUAUUGAGAAAGUAAAAUCACUGAACUUGAUUAAAGGGAUUACUGUAGGUAACAGAGAUCACAAAACGGAAAUUUCUUAUCUUUUCUUUGCUAAUGAUUCAUUGAUUUUUUAUCAACCAGAUUUCAGCUCCCUCAUCUUCCUAAAAUGUAUUCUACUAUGCUUUCAGGCUGUCUUCGAUUUACAUAUAAAUUUCCAAAAAUCUGAGAUGGUUUUGUUGGGAAACAACUCUAGAAAUGAAGAUUUCAGUGUGAUUUUGGGAUGCAACUAGUCACAAUUACCUAUCACUUACCUUGGCAUUCUUCUUGGCACCAAGCACAAUGAUAAUAAUUGGUGGGAACUAUGAUCGAUUUGUUAAAAUAACAGAUUAUCUACCUGGAAGAAAAAAUUUCUAUCAAAAGGAGAUAGAUUGACCCUGAUUAAAAGCACACUCUCCAAUCUCCCGAUUUACUUUUAUAGAUGCUUAACAUACCAAAUAAAGUGGCAAAAAAACUACAGCAGAUCGAAUGUAACUUUCGUUGGGGAUAGUGAAAACUGCAAGAAAUACCACUUAGUGAAUUGGUUGGAGAUCAAAAAACCCUUAAAAGAAGGGACCUUGAGACUAAAUAUCAAUAGUCAAACUAAGCAAGGCACUUCUUGGUAGAUGAAUUUGGAGAUAUUGGAAUGAAAAUAACAGCCUCUAGAAAAUGGUGAUAGACUCAAAAUGGUAUAAUGGCAAUCCACAAAAUCUCUCUUAUAUUAAAAGCAACAACUAUGGUUACAGCUUAUGAAAGAACAUCAUCACACUUAGUAAUACGAUAUUUCAGUGCUCAAAAUGGAAUAUUGGUAAUGGGUUCAAGGUCUGUUUCUGGGAAGAUUUUUUGUGCGAUUCAAAAAAACUAAAAGAUAAAUAUCCUCUUAUCUACCGGAUAGCUAAAAACAAAACGAUUUACCCUUCUUACUUCACUUAUUGGCAAACACUAACUCUUAUUAAGAGUAUGAUGGCAAAUAUUCCUGUCUAUUUCAUGUCUCAUUCAAUAGUUCCUGCAAGUGUGAUUAAAAGAUUAGAGGCAAUGCAAGUUAGGUUUCUCUGAGGCUAUUUUGAAGAGAGGAGGAAAUACUAUUUGACCAAUAGUCAUAUCUAUUUCCAUGUCUCUCUCAACGAUCCUUGUAAAUACAGCUAAAAGAUUAGAGGCAAUGCAACUCAAGUUUCUUUAGGCUAUUUUGAAGAGAGGAGAAAAUAGGAAAUACUAUUUAGUAGCUUGAAUGAUGGUUAAACAGCCAUCUGGGAGGGUGUAUUGGAUGUAAGAUCUUUGAUCGAAUUUAAGAGUGCAUUGCAAGUAAAUGGCUUUAGACAUUUAUGUGGGAGAGAGAGAGAGAGAGAGUCUAUGGAGAAAGGUGUUAGUUGGCAAAGUUUCGUUUAAAGAUUUUAAGAUUCAAGGAGCCCAAAGGGCUGCAUGGAGUUGGCUUAUGGAAGAAGAUUAAUUCCAGGAAAGAGAUCUUUCAAAAAUGUAUUAAAUGGAGAGAUGGGUUGUAGGAGGAAAUGAAGUUUUAGAAGGAUGAGUGAAUGGAAUAAGGACCUCUUUUCACAAGGUUUCCAUCUAUUUUUGCCGUUGCUUAGAACAUGAACAUAUCUCUGAAGGACACUCUUGUAGGAAUCGAUAGGGAGCAUAUUUGGUCUAUGAUUUUAUUUAGAAAUCUGAACGAUUGGGAGAUAGAAGAGUACAUGAAUCUUCUCAACUCUCCUACUCAGGUGUCCAUGGAAGGGUAAAAGAUGAACUAGCAUAGAGUCCGAACAAGAAUGGACGAUUUUCUCUCAAAUCCUUGAACCUAUUUUUACCAAGUGGGAGAGAGACACUAAAAAAUUUCCUUCUAGCAUGAUCUGGAAUGCAAAGGCCACAACCAAGGUGGCUUUUUUGCCUGCGAAGCGGUCAAUGAGAGGAUUCUCACAUUAGACAAGCUAAUUAUAAGAGGAAAAACAUUUAUUGGUGAACGGUUGCUAUCUAUGCAAAAAUGGCAAGGAGAGUUGCAAUCAUAUUAUGCUAUAGUGUUUGAUUGCUCACUGACUUUGGUUUUUGGUGUAUGGUCCUUUGGGGAGUUAAUUGAAUCAUUGUUGGCACAACAAGGGAUGAGCUGUGGGCAUGGAAGGGUUUUAACAUGGAAAAAAAAAACACAUAAGGUUUAUUCCCUUGGCCACCCUUUGAACUAUUCGGAAGGAGAGGAAUAGAGGGCUGUUCAGAGGAACUGACUCUUCCUCUGAUAGAUUUAAAGAUUCUUAGUUCCUAAGCUCUAAGCUUUUUUAUAAAAGACUAACCGCUGUAUUCUAACAAGGAUUUUGGGGACCUUAUAAACAUUUUAUUAGACUGAUAAAUAUUUUAUAUAUGGAUUGCAUCGCUGUGGUGUUUUAUUAAUUCACUUUUACUUCUAAAAAAAUAAAGUUGAAAAGAUAGAAUUUAAUUUCAUUAAAAAGAUAACAUGGAGGACUGCUUGUAAGAGCCUCUAACAGAAUGCCAAACCGCCACAUCAGAUAUAAAUCUGGAAAGCAAAAUAUAGAUGAGACUUAUGUUGAUAUAUUUAAAAAGUAAUUCCCAAAAAUAUAUUCAAAAAGUAAACAAUAACAGACCCAUCUAAGUUUGUGAUUUAGACUCCAAAUUAAAUUUCUGCAGUUCAUUCCUGUGACAUUUAGAUUCUGACUAAUAAGAAAGUUACUCAAGAGAAGAGAAAUAUUAAAAGAAAAGCGACCAGAAAACAGAAAACUAAGCACGAAAUCACAGUCAACUCUUAAAAGAGGUCCAAUCCAGCCAGAUAAAGCAACAUGUCUAACUAUCACAUAAUAAACACCAGAAAAAUAUCAUGAACAUAAUUAUCAAAGAAAAAAACCUUGAUUGCAUUAAUAAAAAACAAAAGCAGGGGAAUUAACCAAAAGGUAAAGUCUGGGUAACAUUCUUGAGCAUAGAUUCUCGGCACAGCAAAAUCAUGAGCAAUGUAAUACAUCAACCAUAUACAUCCAAUCAAAAACACAAAGUUCGUUUAGUAUUCUUCAUUCAAUGGCUUAUAUAGGUGAAGAAAUGUCAACAAAUUUGUUGAAUAUUCUUUAUUCAACGGCUCAUAUAGGUGAGAAAUGUCUGCAGAAAACAAGUAACUCUUCAAAUUUCAGAUUCCUGAAUAGCUAGCAGACCAAGAACUACCAGCAGAGUCCACCAAAACAUUUCACCUAAGUAGGCAUCUAUCACCUACAAUAAACAGGUAUAGGGACUUGGCACGAGGACUUUCUUUAAAUUCUUGGUUGGAAGUUGAAACAUAAUUAUUAGUAAUCAAACGCCUAAAAUUCUACAGGUUCGGCUCCUCAAAACCGAAAAAUAAUCUAUAAGUUCCAAAAUUCUUUUUUUUUUUUAAAUAAAAGGAAAAAAUUAUUAAAAGCUGGAGAUUCCCAGAUAUGAAGAAGAGUAUGCUGGUAAAGAAAAAAAAAAGAAAGUAGAAAUAAGCAGAAAUAGGAGGUAGAAAGAAAAGUGGUGACACAAUACAGUAUUAUUGUGUGAGCAGGCCCCAAGAGAGGAAGGAAAUCUUGGCUAAUCUACGCAAGCAUUUUGAUUAAUUAGCUUUGAUUAGGACAAAGAGGUUAGUGAGGUAAGGAGUUUGGAAUAAGGCGGAGUAGGCAUUGUAUGUCAAAUUGGACACAAGAAUUAGCUAAAUAUCCUUAAAAUAGGAAUUUGGUUUUCAUGGUAAAUAUCAUUAUUGGAAGUGGACUAGGAGUUCAUCAGCAUCUGUAAAAUAUCAAAACUUACAGUACAGCUUACCUAUAAACAUGUAAAGACAGUUACCACGGGCAAAUCAAUUAGCAUAAUUAACUAAAACAGACACUACCUUAAUACUACAGAUCGGAAGUUCACUUGAACAGGCCCUGAACCCUUAUUUCCAUAUAUCUCAACCCAUAGCCUAAUAAUUAAAUAUAGGACCAUAACACAUUGAUAUCACGGCGGGAGUAUAUAGAAAAUAUCAAGGAAUGUUAGCAACGGGUUCUUGCACAUGUCCAAGAGAACAGGAACCAUGCAACGCAAAAUGUGAGAAAGAUUGUUCUCUGUUCGAGAAAAAGCAAAAGGAGCUAAGUCAACAGAUUGAGCUGCUGUCCAGGGAGCUUUUAGGUCAGACACCCAACAAGCAACCCAUGCCUGCGAAGUAGGAGCCUGACAAAAAGGAGGAGACAACGGGAAAAAAAGAGCUUGAAGUUCUUGAUUCUGCGUGCAAUAGCAAUGACUAUGUUCACCUUUUUCCUAAUAACAGUAAAAGUGAUGAGAAGCAACAGCAGCAUGAAUCUCAGCUUCAACCCUAUGGAAGGCUUUAUGGGAAUUCAGCAAGCAGGAGUUCCCUUUUCAUCAGAUACCAGUUUUAGAGAACCUGCAUUUGUUAAUGCAAGAGUACUAUAACACACCGUCCUUUGGUGUUUGCAGACAAGCACCAUUGGGGUGAAUGGAGUAAUGUUAUGCCCCAAUAGCCUGCAGUGAAAAAGGAAACUGGAAGAAAGAAAAGAUACGGCACAAAUAUAAUACUAUAGAAUAGGUGCAGGCCCAUGAGAAUGAAGAAAUCUGGAGUUAACUCCUUAUGUAUUUUUAGUUAAUUAGGUUAGAUCAGGAGAGAUUAUUUAGGUUAGGAGUUUGGAAUAAGGUAGAUUAGGAAUUAUCUUUUGUCAAAUAGGAAAAGAAAUCAGCCAAAGAUCCCUGACAUUAGGAUCGGCUUUUAUGUGUUGAUCCUUAUUAGGUGAGGACUAGAAGUUCAUUAGCGGCUGUUGAAAAAGAAAGAAUAUGAUAUUGUUUACGUAUAAGGAUGUAAAUAGUUUGCAUAAAUAAAAUCAACCAGCGAAUAAUUAACUAAAAACAGCUUCUAGAGAUCGGUGGCUUCUCCCUAACAAACCCCAAACCAUUCCACAUACCUCAACUCAUAACUUGAUCCUUGAAUAUGGGACCAUAAAUACCUAGGUUUCUGAGCAAGAAGUCUUAAACAUCAUAUUUAAGGCUUAGUUUGCAUUAAACAACCAACAAGAAUAAGAAACUCUAGAAGAAAUUUAUUGAGUAACUGAAGGCUCCCCGAAAAUGUAAAUUUUACAAAAAUAUUCAUAAUGUUUAGUAAGAAACCUUUGCUAAAUAAAAUUAAACCAAGAAAUGCUAAUAUUAAUAGGAUUAGGAAAUAAAAGUAUCAAUAUAAACUGAAAAGCUAAACACUAAUAAGAAUAAAAUCCUAAAGUUACUAAAACUAUAACUAUAAACUCAUAAAUAUUGUAGUAGUUUUAUAUUAACAGAACUAUAAUUUCAAAUCUUAGGCACUCUAGUGCUAGCACAUUCUGCAUCAUGGUGUUAACAGUUCCACAUGGUAAGACAAAUCUAAAAUUAACUGUACAAGUUAACAAGGACUAGAAUGACAAUUUAGCCAAAUGGAAAUAAGAUACUCUUCAAUGAGAAAUAGUUCUAUUCUCAAGGUAUUUUCCUCUUUCCUUUUGCAUAGAUUCAAGCCUAGUCAAUCUAGAUAGAAACUGCUUGCUUGACCUAAUAUUUACCCAAGCUGAUACUUCUUCAGAACCUUGUUUCCUUUUUAAUUCGUAGAAUCUCCAUAAGGUUUAUAACAAUCUGUAUUAAAGCCGAAAGACGACUUAUGAUCUUAAUAUUCUUCAGAACUCAAUCCAAAAAGAAAAGCAUCAACUAGAUUUAAACUAGAUUUACACAAGAGUCCACUUGCUUCCACCUUGUUAUGAUAAUCCUUUACGGUUAUUUAGGAUUAAAUGCAAAGACCUCUUUUAGUCAAGUAUGUUUAUCCUCCAGCUUGUUCUUUCUUCCACGCUCUUCUUUCAUUUUCUAAAUCUAGAAGCCAACCCACUUGAGAAACUGACCACCAAUUCAUCUUCCUCCAACUGCAGUACAAACAUCAGGCUGCGAAACCAGUAUUUGAUUCUAGAGAUCUUAUAGUUUCAAUGCAAGUCUCAGAAUACUUCUGACACUUGGGUAAGACAAUGAAUAGGAUAACUUUGUAUGACAGUGCAGAGUACAGAUGAGCAAGGUUGGUGUGAAAAAGCUUCCUCUUAAAAAUGUUUGCUUGUUGUUGUUUUAAAAGCUUUUUGUCAUAAAAAAGUAAUCAUAGUGCUAGUAAAUUAUUUUUAUAAGAUACAACUGAGAUGCUGUGCAAAAUUUGUGUUUUUGGCAACAAUAGAUGUAAAAGUAUUAUACAAGUACAAUUAACAUGUUUAUAUUUUAUUUAAGGAAAAAAUCUCUUUUGAAGUUAAAAUCUAUUUAUAUAUUCUAUAUUAAUUUUUGGGUAAGAUUAGCAGCAGUAAGAAAUUAAAAUUUGGUCAUUAUUUUUAUUUGCUUCUGUUGAAAGCAUAUUUUGCUGCUUUGAGAAAGCAACUAUGUGGUUGAUUUCCCAAAGCAGCAAAAUUUGCUUUUCCAAUUGAAAAUUUUUUGAAAAAAAAAUCGAAAAAUAGAUCACCAAACAUGACUUCACUGAAAGGACGGUUGUUCUCUGGAGAAAGCAACUCCAAAAGCUUUACCAAAUCUGAGUGUUAAUAUUUUUGCUAUAUACAUAGGCAAACGGAGGAGUACGUAAUAUUAUGACCAUAAUUCCCUUUCCUUAAUAUUUUUUCAAAUACUAAAGUUUAAUUUAAAAUUUUAAUGUAUACCAAUACAAUAAUAUAUUAAAAUAUUUAAAGUAUAAAAUUAUUUUUAAGAAAAUAAUAAUAUAAAAUCAUUUCUGAGAUUUGUAUUUUAAGCUAAUUAUUAAUUUAAUAAAAAAAAUUAAAGAGUAAAUGUUAAUAUAUUUUAAAAAUAUUAGCAACUAAUAUAUAAUUUAAAAUAAAUCUACAUAACAAUAAGACAAAUUUAAAUCCUAAGAUGCUUUUAAAGUAUAAUAUUAUUUUUAAAACAUAAAAUUAUUUUCAAAUUAUCUUUUAAAAUUAUGAUGACUUUAGACCACGAAAAUUCAAACCAGGAAUUUACAAUAAUAGUUCCCAAGUCCGAAAAAGAUAAGAAUCGAGGAGAAUUACUACCUGUACAUGCUCAUCUUUUCCAUAAGCUCCAUGUUAAGAUCUCUAGAGAAUAAUUUAAAUGGAAAUAUAUCAUAGUAGGAACAGAAUUCUCACCUAGCUCCUGCUGCAUCUGAGGUAGAUACAUUGCUCUUUGGGACCCUACAAAAGGAAAGGUUACAGGAUAUGGAAGAGACAUCAAUAUAGAUCCCAGAAAAACAAUCAAAAAGAUAGUCCAGUGCAUUUUAUUAGUAAAUUGCCUCUAAAAUUUGUCAUUUGGUGCCAUGUCACCUUGGAGACCAAAAGUUUGUAAGUCCUAAUAGUUCAACUACUGAAAAGAAGAGUUCAAUGAACUUACGUCGCUUGCUCUGGCGGAGCAGAAACUGAAACUGGUGCAGUUGUUGAUGCAGUUGUUGAUGCAGUUGUAGAAGUGGGCUGGGAUAAAAGCAGAAUCAAUAUUCUACAGAAAAAUGAUACGCAAACAAGAAAAAGCACAAAAAUAAAAGGUUACCUGAGAAGAUGAAGUCCCAGAUGAACCCAGACUUUUGCUCUAUAAGAGGAAAGUUAUGCGUCAGUAAAAUGUACACAGCAUACUGAAAAAUUGAUGCACAGAACAAAGGAAAAUGCAAGGAUUGCCAAUACGGAUUCACCCAAGCAUACAACUGCAAGAGAUCAACUUCAAAGAGCUAAUACUGAAGAGAUCAACUUCAAAGAGCUAAGGCAGGCUACCAAAAUGUGGUAUUCCUACUCGUAUAAGUAGAUGGUUAAAACUUUGUGGUAAAUUGAUACUGACAGUAGAUGCUUGAGCACCCAUUUUUCCAAGGAGAUCCUUGGGGGGUUAUUCUCUUGCAACAAAGACAAAGCUUAAGGCCGAAAUGGUUUCUCCAUGGCUUCAGAGUAGGAAAUUGUUAAGGGUGAUAUUAUUGACCUGUUUGGGGAAUUCUUGCAUUCUAGAAAGUUUUGUUAGUACUUCCAAUGCUUAACUUUUGGUGUUUAUUCCCAAAAGGUUACAGGGGCAAUAAACUUUAGGUACUUCAUACCUAUUAACUUGGUGGGAAGAUUGAGUUACGUUGUUUACUAAGGUGGGGGAAGCUCAACAAGUUUUUGUGAGUCAAGUUGUUGAUAAUGGUGUAUGUAGCUCUUAAAAGAGAACCCCAAUUUUGCUGUGCAAACUGGAUAUUAAAAUGUAUAUGAUCAUGUCUCAUGGUCUUUUUUCCUUUGUCUACUAAACCCCCAACCAACCCCCCACCCCCCCAAAACUGAUGCUAGUACAAACUUUUACUCAUUCCCUUAAUUAGUCAACCGCUACUUGACUUCUUACUAACAAAUCCUAUUAUUUUAAAAAAGAAGCCAAAGAAACCCUGUAGCCAAAGAAACCAUCCUAUUAUUUCAAAUACUUUUAACAUGCUUGCUCAUAGUGAAUUAGUUAUUGCAUAUAUUUCAACAAAAAAAAAAAGGAAUUAGUUUCAUAAGUAUAUAUUUUUUUAUCUGAUUUAUUAUUAAAUUAAUUAAUAAAUGUCAAGUGAAAAACAUUAACUUUUACACUUCCUUACUCAUAUAAAUCUAUUAAACUGCCUUUAUAUGAAGAAUAGUUUAAUUUAAUUAAAAAGAAAAGGCUACUAUAACUUCAAUUAUAUUCCACUUAAUUCUUUUUUAUUUAAAUAUAUAAACAAGGGCAAAUAUGUAAUCAUAUUUCUGUUGAUUUUUAAGUAUUUAAUUAACAAUAAGGGGGAAAAUGCAUUACCUUAAUAUAAAUGGGGUUAAGUGUAUUGGGCGGUGGCUGGUUCAAUAAGGGAUGAGAUUUUUCCCUGGAAGGAUAUUGGUGGUGGGAAGAAACAUGUGGGUCUCAUCUCCUUAGCCAUAUUUGGGUGUCGGAAAAGAGAGAAACAUGAGAACUUUUAAGGGGGUGGAAGGUGAUUUUGAUAGAAUUAGAGAUAAUUGGUUCCAAACCAUGGGUCUUCGAUUAUAGGUCAUCCACUUUAUUUUAUAGAGAAUUUUGGAGAUCUCAUUGAUAUUCUGAUUGAAAUUUUAAAUAUUUUUGUAUAUGGGUUGGAACACUUGAUGCUUGUGAAUUUAUUAUUUACCGUAACUUUAUUUUCAAAAAAAAAAGGAACAUGAGGCUUUAAUUUCUGUUCUCACCAUGGUAAGAUUUGAUGGAAUCAAUAACCAGCCCAUUUGGAGGCUUAAUGCUUCUGGAGUGUUCGCGGUUAGAUCUUUAUAUAAUCAUUUGACUAAAAAAAGAGAUAUCGAGUAUAGGAUUUCCAUUUAAGCAAAUAUGGAAGGUUAAUGCUUCUCCUAGAAUUAUUUUCUUGCUUGAGAGGCAAGCAGGGGAUGUAUUCUGAUUUUAGAUAAACUGAUCAAGAGGGGUAGGAUUCUAGUCAAUGGGUGUUAGUUAUGCAAGAGAAAUGCAAACUUGUGUUAUCAUAUCUUCUUGUGAUAUUGGCAGGGGGAAGAAACAUAUUAGCCUCACUUCCCUAGUCACUUUCUUGGUGGCCUGGAAGGAGCAAAACAAGAGAGUUUUUGAUAGCAUGAAAGUGAACUUCGAUACGGUUAAAGAUAGGUGGUUGCAAACCCAAAGUUAUUAUUAUGGGCUAUCUUCUUUAUUCAUCUGAGGAUUCGGAGAACCUUAUUGACAUUAUGAUAGAUAUGUAAAUACCUUCGUACAUGGGUUUGCACCCCUUUAGUGCUUAUGAAUGGAUU
rnacentral:lncRNA from 1 species